rnacentral:rRNA from 1 species
GAUGAACGCUGGCGGCGUGCCUAAUACAUGCAAGUCGAGCGAACAGACGGGGAGCUUGCUCCUCUGACGUUAGCGGCGGACGGGUGAGUAACACGUGGAUAACCUACCUAUAAGACUGGGAUAACUUCGGGAAACCGGAGCUAAUACCGGAUAACAUGUUGAACCGCAUGGUUCAACAGUGAAAGACGGUCUUGCUGUCGCUUAUAGAUGGAUCCGCGCCGCAUUAGCUAGUUGGUAAGGUAACGGCUUACCAAGGCAACGAUGCGUAGCCGACCUGAGAGGGUGAUCGGCCACACUGGAACUGAGACACGGUCCAGACUCCUACGGGAGGCAGCAGUAGGGAAUCUUCCGCAAUGGGCGAAAGCCUGACGGAGCAACGCCGCGUGAGUGAAGAAGGUCUUCGGAUCGUAAAACUCUGUUAUUAGGGAAGAACAAAUGUGUAAGUAACUAUGCACGUCUUGACGGUACCUAAUCAGAAAGCCACGGCUAACUACGUG